UUUCUUUUUUGACUUUCAUUUUUUUGAUAACUUUUUCUUAUAUUUUAGAUUUAACAUAAAUUCUUUGCAGAGAUGAAAUGUCAUGAGUUAAGCUGCUAAUUUUUUCGGGAUUAUGCCCCGUUCAUCUACCAAAAAAAACAAAAAAGAGCUACAUUUGAGCUGUGAUCUCUUUUUUCAGUUGCACAAAUUUUUUCACGUUGAUGAGGGUCUCCUCUAGAAAACAUUCCUGCAGGGUCACUCUGCCCCUCAAGCUGAGGCAGAUUAAAGCUGCGUGGUUUAAUCUUUUUUUUUUGUCCGGUUUAUUAGGGCGGAGAAAUUGAAAGCUGAGGCCUGGUUUCAUGUCUUAUUCCGCUCCUUUACCUGCUUGAUGAUUCUGCAAGGAUUAUCUCAAUUUUCGGGCUUUUGUAGGAUCAUAUUUAUUUUUGUACUUAACAUUAUUCUUUUCUUGCAGGGUGCUCUCUGGGCUGUCAGAAGCGACUUGACAACGAGGAGAACUGUUAUAGUUAUUGCGCACCGGCUUUCUACGACACAAGCUGCAGACCAAUUGUGGUGAUGGAUGGUGGUCGAAUAGUUGAGAUGGGAACUCACAUAGAGCUUCUACUCGAGGAUGGCCUGUACGCACGACUGACGAGAAGAUAAGCUGAUGCUGUGGCCUAAUUUGCCCAAGCACUACUGAUUCACUCACUUCUCGAAACUUUUGCCCGAGGAGUUCUUCAUACAGCAUAUAGUUUUGAGCACACUUGUUAUAAAGCCAACAAACUCAUCUACACUACUGAUUUACUCACUUCUCAAAUUUUUUGCCCGAGGAGUUCUUCAUACAGCAUACAGUUUUGAGCACACUUGUUAUACAACCAACAAACUCAUCUACACAUCAGUCGACGAGGAGUAGCCGGUCGCAUGCUCCUUCAAAACAAGUUCAAUAGAGCAGUUACUGAUGCUAUCUCAUUCUUUGUGAAGCCGAUAUGGAAGAACCCCGAGGAGGUAUUUAGAGAAUGUUCUUCCUUCAUUAUUAGCAUAUAAUGCUUUGGUAUCUUCUAUGUAACUUGUAACUGCACUGUGCUUGCAGCAAACGCGUAGAAAUUUAAACAGAUGAGUACAUUUCAGCUACAAUUGAUGAAUUGAAA